rnacentral:rRNA from 1 species
AGUGGCGGACGGGUGAGUAACGCGUGGGAACAUACCCUUUGGUACGGAAUAGCCUCGGGAAACUGAGAGUAAUACCAUAUACGCCCUUCGGGGGAAAGAUUUAUCGGUGAAGGAUUGGCCCGCGUAAGAUUAGAUAGUUGGUGGGGUAAUGGCCUACCAAGCCUACGAUCCAUAGCUGGUUUGAGAGGAUGAUCAGCCACACUGGGACUGAGACACGGCCCAGACUCC